GGAAUUUUCCGCAAUGGGGGGAACCCUGACCGAGCAACGCCGCGUGAAGGAUGAAGGUCUUCGGAUUGUAAACUUCUUUUAUUUGGGAAGAUCUUUUGACUGUACCAUGUGAAUAAGACACGGCAAACUCUGUGCCAGCAGCCGCGGUAAUACAGAGGUGUCAAGCGUUAUCCGGAUUUAUUGGGCGUAAAGGAUGAGUAGGUGGUUCUGAAAGUCUGUAAUGAAAUGCUGUUGCUUAACGACAGUCUGUUACAGAAACUACAAAACUAGAGACAAGGAGAGGUAAGCGGAAUUCCAUGUGUAGCGGUAAAAUGCGUAGAUAUCGGGAAGAACACCAGUGGCGAAGGCGCUCUGCUAGGCCAUAACUGACGCUCAUGGACGAAAGCCAGGGGAGCGAAAGGGAUUAGAUACCCCUGUAGUC
rnacentral:rRNA from 1 species